rnacentral:rRNA from 1 species
CGUAGGGUGCGAGCGUUAAUCGGAAUUACUGGGCGUAAAGCGUGCGCAGGCGGUUUGUAAGACAGGCGUGAAAUCCCCGGGCUCAACCUGGGAACUGCGCUUGUGACUGCAAGGCUAGAGUACGGCAGAGGGGGUGGAAUUCCACGUGUAGCAGUGAAAUGCGUAGAGAUGUGGAGGAACACCAAUGGCGAAGGCAGCCCCCUGGGUCGAUACUGACGCUCAUGCACGAAAGCGUAGGGUAGCAAACAGGAUUAGAUACCCUGGUAGUCCACGCCCUAAACGAUGUCAACGUAGGUGUUCGGGUGGGUAAAACCAUUUAGUACCGGAGCUAACGCGUGAAGUUGACCGGCCUGGGGAGUACGGCCGCAAGGUUA